UACAAUACAACUUUCAGCAACGGAUCUCUUGGCUCUCGCAUCGAUGAAGAACGCAGCGAAAUGCGAUAAGUAAUGUGAAUUGCAGAAUUCAGUGAAUCAUCGAAUCUUUGAACGCACCUUGCGCCCUUUGGCUAUUCCGAAGGGCAUGCCUGUUUGAGUAUCAU
rnacentral:rRNA from 1 species